rnacentral:lncRNA from 1 species
AGAGAGCUCUGGUUUGAGCUGGAUGUGGUUGUAGAGCAAUGACUUCAUUCCGUGUGUUGCUGUCCUUACCAUGCAUGGACAGUAUUUGCCAUCUUCCCUAGAAAUCCAAAAAGAACAUAUGGGAUAUCAGGAAAUGGAUGAAUCAGAACCCUCCAGAGGCAGAGCUCAGUUGGGGAAAAAUUCCAAGAUAUGGAGAACAGAUAUCAAUGAACAUAAACAAUACUGCUGUGAGAAGAGAGAGCUGGGACUACUCAAGGCUCACAUGAGUUCCUACAAUGAAGGACAGAUGAAGACCCUCUGUUCCAGUGAACUCAGAGCAUGGACACCAUCUUCAUUGUCUUGAAAAAAGGAAAAAACAGAGAAGUACAAAGGGAGUUUGAAGAGCCCUGUGAUCCCAAGGGGCUGCUGGCCCCUUCUUUUAGCAGCUUUUGAGGUGAGUCCUGUUUGAUUUAUUUUGGCAUAUCUUUAUGCUGAAGAGCUGUCACUGAGCCACAUUUAGCAGAGUG